AACCCCUCGCUAUCUGUUGCCAGCAAGUAAUGUUGGGGACGUCAGAUGGAACUGCCGGUGGACAAACCGGAGGAAGGUGGGGACGACGUCAAGUCAUCAUGGCCCUUAUGUCCUGGGCUACACACGUGCUACAAUGGCCGGUACAGAGCGCAGCGAAGCCGCGAGGCAAAGCGAAUCGCAAAAAGCCGGUCUCAGUACGGAUUGGAGUCUGAAACUCGACUCCAUGAAGUUGGAAUCGCUAGUAAUCGCGCAUCAGCAUGGCGCGGUGAAUACGUUCCCGGGCCUU
rnacentral:rRNA from 1 species